rnacentral:rRNA from 1 species
CAGUUUCUAUCCUCUUUUUGAAAUGAGCUAAUUUUGUACGAAAGGACUUUUUCGCUAAAGCAAUGCUUUGUCACAAAUCUGUGGUUGCAUAAAUAAUAGUGUAUAACAGGUUGAUUAGCCUAUAGGAAGGGUUA